rnacentral:rRNA from 1 species
GUUUCCGUAGGUGACCUGCGGAGGAUCAUUACCGAGUGAGGGCCCUCUGGGUCCAACCUCCCACCCGUGUCUAUCGUACCUUGUUGCUUCGGCGGGCCCGCCGUUUCGACGGCCGCCGGGGAGGCCUCGCGCCCCCGGGCCCGCGCCCGCCGAAGACCCCAACAUGAACGCUGUUCUGAAAGUAUGCAGUCUGAGUUGAUUAUCAUAAUCAGUUAAAACUUUCAACAACGGAUCUCUUGGUUCCGGCAUCGAUGAAGAACGCAGCGAAAUGCGAUAAGUAAUGUGAAUUGCAGAAUUCAGUGAAUCAUCGAGUCUUUGAACGCACAUUGCGCCCCCUGGUAUUCCGGGGGGCAUGCCUGUCCGAGCGUCAUUGCUGCCCUCAAGCACGGCUUGUGUGUUGGGCCCCGUCCCCUCCCCCGGGGACGGGCCCGAAAGGCAGCGGCGGCACCGCGUCCGAUCCUCGAGCGUAUGGGGCUUUGUCACCCGCUCUGUAGGCCCGGCCGGCGCCAGCCGACACCCAACUUUUAUUUCUAAGGUUGACCUCGGAUCAGGUAGGGAUACCCGCUGAACUUAAGCAUAUCAAUAAGCGGGAGGA